AAAUUUCGGAAUGUCUUGUAUGUCAGUUCACCGCAUUGCAAGCACAUAUGCCUGCGGUUCCAUGAAUCAGUUCAUCAAUAUCUACUCAUUAAAGGGCAAUUUGAUCAACACAAUACGCAUCUAUGAAGGAUUCAUGGGCCACAGGAUAGGUCCGGUAACCUGUUUGAAUUAUCAUCCAUACAAAAUUGCUUUAGCGGCAGGAACUUCUGAUUGUUGUAUCAAUGUUUAUACUCUCGAAGGAAAGAGGUGACGGGAUUCACAGCCCUAGACCUUAUUUUGGGGCCUUUGGGGUUCCUAACAACACCGCCGACCUUAGACAAGUGUUUGUAAAUUCUUCCUCAAUAGUUUGAAUAAUUAUCUCAUCAAUAUUUCUUACUGCGAAAAAGAGUUUUAUGUUGUUGAUGAUACUGUUCUUGACAUAUUUUAGGUUUUAUGAACUGGUUAACUGGAAAGGGAAAUUAAUUAGAAGGUUCAGAAAGUGUUAUUUAGAUGUCUAGUACAGUUGAGAAAUAAUUAUUUUCACAGUUUUAGUGUGUAACAAUUUGUUCAUGUCAGAUAACCAGAAAUGCAAUAAUCUUCUCAACAGGUGUUUCAACAACCAAGUUGGCAUCUUCAGUUUUCUUCAUCUCCUGAAGAGGCCAACUUGGUUGGUGAAAUGCAUGUUGAGAAAAGUUUGCAUUCCUGGUGACUAGGAGAAGUGAUUAUUUUACACCAGAGCUUCCAGUUUCAACUUUCAUCAGAUAAUGCUAACUUAAAAGCUAGUUUGAGAGCACUUGCCAAUCGCCUCUUGGAAAAAGAUAUUACUUGUGAAUUGGAUUUUAUUUUAUAUUUUCUAACAUUUACAUCACAGGCUAUUUUUUGUCAAUUAGUAAUGGAUUUAGUGAGCCCAAUUACUACAAAUAACAUUUGAUUGAGAAUGGCAAAAUUAUUUUAAUUUCAUAUCCCUCUGAAAAUGUUUUUUUUGUCAAUUAGUAAUGGAUUUAGUGAGCCCAAUUUCUACAAAUAACAUUUGAUUGAGAAUGGCAAAAUUAUUUGAAUUUCAUAUACCUCUGAAAAUGUUGAAAAUUGAGAACGGCUGAAAAUAUUUUGAAAAAGUUAUUCAAUUCAUGAUUUAUCAAAACAUUACCGUUUGUAGGACUGGUAAUCAUAUUUCCCAAGGAGUAUUACAUUUAUAAUAUAACUGUCCCAUUACUUAUGCUAUUAUUAACCUGUAAUAGGAGAGCCUUCAUCUUUUAGAAAAAAAAUCAAAAAAUCAACUAGUUUGGAAGAAUGUCAAUAGUCCCCAUUCAUAUGAGUUCACCAAGGAAUGUAAUAUAUUGAUUUAAAACACUCUUCUGUUUUCAAAUGCUGUAGAUUGCAGGGAGGUAAAAGAGGUUUUUUUGAAUAAUUUAUUUUUCUAUGAUAAAUACAUGUAACUGAUUUGAGUUUUUCAU